rnacentral:rRNA from 1 species
UUCGCCUACGGGACGCAGCAGUGAGGAAUAUUGGUCAAUGGGCGGGAGCCUGAACCAGCCAAGUCGCGUGAGGGAUGACGGUCCUACGGAUUGUAAACCUCUUUUGCCGGGGAGCAAGCGUGCGUUCGUGAACGCGCGUCGAGAGUACCCGGAGAAAAAGCAUCGGCUAACUCCGUGCCAGCAGCCGCGGUAAUACGGAGGAUGCGAGCGUUAUCCGGAUUUAUUGGGUUUAAAGGGUGCGCAGGCGGGCUGUUAAGCCGGCGGUAAAAAUUCAGGGCUCAACCC